rnacentral:rRNA from 1 species
CCUACGGGAGGCAGCAGUGAGGAAUAUUGGUCAAUGGGCGAGAGCCUGAACCAGCCAAGUCGCGUGAAGGAUGAAGGAUCUAUGGUUUGUAAACUUCUUUUAUAUGGGAAUAAAGUGCGGAACGUGUUUCUGUUUGUAUGUACCAUAUGAAUAAGCAUCGGCUAACUCCGUGCCAGCAGCCGCGGUAAUACGGAGGAUGCGAGCGUUAUCCGGAUUUAUUGGGGUUAAAGGGUGCGUAGGGGGUUAGAUAAAUUAGCGGUGAAAUUUUGGGGCUCAACCCUGAAAAUGCCGUUGAAACUGGUUGACUAGAGUAUAUGUGAGGUAGGCGGAAUGCGUGGUGUAGCGGUGAAAUGCAUAGAGAUCACGCAGAACUCCGAUUGCGAAGGCAGCUUACCAAACUAUAACUGACGCUGAGGCACGAAAGCGUGGGGAGCAAACAGGAUUAGAUACCCCUGUAGUC